rnacentral:siRNA from 1 species
CAAAAUGUAAGCCGCAUGAAAC